ensembl:scaRNA small Cajal body-specific RNA 6
GGUCAAUGAUGAAUAGUAAAAGGUCUGACUUCCAGGGUCACCUACCAGCAUCCUACAUCCCCAGCUGCGUGCUCUUUCCAUCUUACUGUAGUAGUGCUAUCAUGGCAAACACAAUAGCUGACAUGCAGUGAUGUCUCCAUUCUGUGUUCUCUGACAAGCCCAGAGAAGACAUGAGUUGGCAUCCAACAGCUUAGUCUCUAAGGGAUUUGAUUGUUGGGAGUGCUGGUAUCCCUUGGCUAUGAUCUGACUUUAAGCUGAGACC